rnacentral:pre_miRNA from 1 species
UUAAUACUCCCUCCGUCCGGAAAUACUUGUCGUAGAAAUGGAUACAAAUGGAUGUAUCUAGAACUAAAAUACAUCUAGAUACAUCCAUUCCUCGGACAAGUAUUUUCGGACGGAGGGAGUACAUG